rnacentral:rRNA from 1 species
CUGACGCAGCAACGCCGUGUGAAGGAUGAAGAUUUUCGGAUUGUAAACUUCUGUCAAUUGGGGACGAAGGUAGUAGGGUUAAUAGCUUUUACUAUUGACGGUACCCAAUAAGGAAGUCUCGGCUUACUCCGUGCCAGCAGCCGCGGUAAGACGGGGGAGGCAAGCGUUGUCCGGAAUUAUUGGGCGUAAAGAGCGCGUAGGUGGUUUGUAAAGUCAUUUGUGAAAACUUUAGGCUUAACUUAAAGACUGCAAGUGAUACUGACGAACUUGAGUGCAGUAGAGGAAAGUGGAAUUCCUGGUGUAGCGGUGAAAUGCGCAGAUAUCAGGAAGAACACCAGUGGCGAAGGCGGCUUUCUGGGCUGUUACUGACACUGAGGCGCGAAAGCUAGGGGAGCGAACAGGAUUAGAUACCCUGGUAGUCCUAGCUGUAAACGAUGGAUACUAGGUGUGGGAAGUUAUCGACGCUUUCCGUGCCGAAGCUAACGCAUUAAGUAUCCCGCCUGGGGAGUACGGCCGCAAGGCUAAAACUCAAAGGAAUUGACGGGGGCCCGCACAAGCGGCGGAGCAUGUGGCUUAAUUCGACGCAACGCGAAGAACCUUACCAAGGUUUGACACCAUACUGAAGGUUAUAGAAAUGUAACUGCCUUCGGGCAGUAUGACAGGUGGUGCAUGGUUGUCGUCAGCUCGUGUCGUGAGAUGUUGGGUUAAGUCCCGCAACGAGCGCAACCCUCUUCCCAUGUUGCCA